AACGAACGCUGGCAGCAUGCCUAACACAUGCAAGUCGAACGAAGGCUUCGGCCUUAGUGGCGCACGGGUGCGUAACGCGUGGGAAUCUGCCCUUGGGUGCGGAAUAACAGUUAGAAAUGACUGCUAAUACCGCAUAAUGACUCCGGUCCAAAGAUUUAUCGCCCAGGGAUGAGCCCGCGUAGGAUUAGCUUGUUGGUGAGGUAAAAGCUCACCAAGGCGACGAUCCUUAGCUGGCCUGAGAGGAUGAUCAGCCACACUGGGACUGAGACACGGCCCAGACUCCUACGGGAGGCAGCAGUGGGGAAUAUUGAACAAUGGGCGAAAGCCUGAUCCAGCAAUGCCGCGUGAGUGAUGAAGGCCUUAGGGUUGUAAAGCUCUUUUACCCGGGAUGAUAAUGACAGUACCGGGAGAAUAAGCCCCGGCUAACUCCGUGCCAGCCGCCGCAGUAAUAC
rnacentral:rRNA from 1 species